rnacentral:tRNA from 2 species
GUCUGAAUAGCUCAGCUGGAUAGAGCAAUAGCCUUCUAAGCUAUCGGUCGGGGGUUCGAAUCCCUCUUCAGACGCCA